rnacentral:rRNA from 1 species
GAUUGAACGCUGGCGGCAGGCCUAACACAUGCAAGUCGAACGGUAACAGAAAGCAGCUUGCUGCUUUGCUGACGAGUGGCGGACGGGUGAGUAGUGUCUGGGAAACUGCCCGAUGGAGGGGGAUAACUACUGGAAACGGUAGCUAAUACCGCAUAACGUCGCAAGACCAAAGAGGGGGACCUUCGGGCCUCUUGCCAUCGGAUGUGCCCAGAUGGGAUUAGCUAGUAGGUGGGGUAACGGCUCACCUAGGCGACGAUCCCUAGCUGGUCUGAGAGGAUGACCAGCCACACUGGAACUGAGACACGGUCCAGACUCCUACAGGAGGCAGCAGUGGGGAAUAUUGCACAAUGGGCGCAAGCCUGAUGCAGCCAUGCCGCGUGUAUGAAGAAGGCCUUCGGGUUGUAAAGUACUUUCAGCGGGGAGGAAGGGAGUAAAGUUAAUACCUUUGCUCAUUGACGUUACCCGCAGAAGAAGCACCGGCUAACUCCGUGCCAGCAGCCGCGGUAAUACGGAGGGUGCAAGCGUUAAUCGGAAUUACUGGGCGUAAAGCGCACGCAGGCGGUUUGUUAAGUCAGAUGUGAAAUCCCCGGGCUCAACCUGGGAACUGCAUCUGAUACUGGCAAGCUUGAGUCUCGUAGAGGGGGGUAGAAUUCCAGGUGUAGCGGCGAAAUGCGUAGAGAUCUGGAGGAAUACCGGUGGCGAAGGCGGCCCCCUGGACGAAGACUGACGCUCAGGUGCGAAAGCGUGGGGAGCAAACAGGAUUAGAUACCCUGGUAGUCCACGCCGUAAACGAUGUCGACUUGGAGGUUGUGCCCUUGAGGCGUGGCUUCCGGAGCUAACGCGUUAAGUCGACCGCCUGGGGAGUACGGCCGCAAGGUUAAAACUCAAAUGAAUUGACGGGGGCCCGCACAAGCGGUGGAGCAUGUGGUUUAAUUCGAUGCAACGCGAAGAACCUUACCUGGUCUUGACAUCCACGGAAGUUUUCAGAGAUGAGAAUGUGCCUUCGGGAACCGUGAGACAGGUGCUGCAUGGCUGUCGUCAGCUCGUGUUGUGAAAUGUUGGGUUAAGUCCCGCAACGAGCGCAACCCUUAUCCUUUGUUGCCAGCGGUCCGGCCGGGAACUCAAAGGAGACUGCCAGUGAUAAACUGGAGGAAGGUGGGGAUGACGUCAAGUCAUCAUGGCCCUUACGACCAGGGCUACACACGUGCUACAAUGGCGCAUACAAAGAGAAGCGACCUCGCGAGAGCAAGCGGACCUCAUAAAGUGCGUCGUAGUCCGGAUUGGAGUCUGCAACUCGACUCCAUGAAGUCGGAAUCGCUAGUAAUCGUGGAUCAGAAUGCCACGGUGAAUACGUUCCCGGGCCUUGUACACACCGCCCGUCACACCAUGGGAGUGGGUUGCAAAAGAAGUAGGUAGCUUAACCUUCGGGAGGGCGCUUACCACUUUGUGAUUCA